GAGUCCUCCUUGUAGCUGCAGAAUUUGAGAAGAGCUGCAGGAGGACUCAUUUUCAGGACACUUGUGACAGUCUAAUCAUAGGGCACCACCUAAGGUGGCAGCGUAAACACAGUCUGUCCCCAGACUAUAACCAGAUGCUCCUACUUGAGACCAAACAGCAAAUGGGUUAGGCUCCAAGCCAGAAGAGAGCUGGGGGUCCCACCUUCUGUCCUCUCCAUGCAUCCUGUCCAAAACCUCUAAAAACCUAUUGAAUGUAUAAAAGAUCAGCGGAAAUACCAUGUUUUCUACAAGGAGCAUGUCCCACUUUCAACAUUGUAAAAAAUGUGCAAGCCUUGUUUCUGUUUCUAAAAGCAGCCUGACUGCUGAAGCUUACCUUCAGUCAAGGGAAAGAUUUCACUCAUCUUCUGGCGGGCC